rnacentral:rRNA from 1 species
GAUGAACGCUGGCGGCGUGCUUAACACAUGCAAGUCGAACGAAGUGGCGAACGGGUGAGUAACGCGUAAUCAACUGGCCCUUCAGAGGGGGACAACAGUUGGAAAGGACUGCUAAUACCGCAUACUGAAGGACGGGAUUGCGUCUGAAUAGCUAGGUGGAGGGGUAACGGCCAACCAAGGCGAGCAUCAGUAGCCGGGCUGAGAGGAUGAACGGCCACAUUGGGACUGAGACACGGCCCAGACUCCUAAGGGAGGCAGCAGUGGGGAAUCUUCCGCAAUGGACGAAAGGCUGACGGAGCAACGCCGCGGGAGUGAUGACGGCCUUCGGGUUGUAAAGCUCUGUUAAUCGGGACGCGGUACCGGAAUAGAAAGCCACGGCUAACUCCGUGCCAGCAGCCGCGGUAAUUC